UCAAGUUAUUAAGGGUGCAGGGCGGAUGCCUUGGCACUAGGAGCCGAUGAAGGACGUGAUAAGCUGCGAUAAGCUUCGGGGAGUUGCACGUAAACUUUGAUCCGAAGAUUUCCGAAUGAGGAAACUCACUUAGAGUAAUGUCUAAGUAUCAUUAAGUGAAUACAUAGCUUAAUGAGGGGAACUCAGGGAACUGAAACAUCUAAGUACCUGAAGGAAGAGAAAGAAAUUCGAUUCCGUAAGUAGCGGCGAGCGAACGCGGAUUAGCCCAAACCAAUAAAGUUUUCUUUAUUGGGGUUGCGGACAUAUCAUAACGAAGAGGUAUCGUAAUUGAAGAGGUUUGGAAAGACCCACCACAGAAGGUAAUAGUCCUGUAUGUUAAACGAGAAGACUUNAGAUAUGAUCCAGAGUACCACGGGACACGUGAAACCCUGUGGGAAGCAGGAGGGACCACCCUCCAAGGCUAAAUACUACCUAGUGACCGAUAGCGUAUAGUACCGUGAGGGAAAGGUGAAAAGAACCCCGGGAGGGGAGUGAAAUAGAACCUGAAACCCUGCACUUACAAGCUGUGGAAGCACAUUUCUUGUGUGACCGCGUACUUUUUGUAGAACGGGCCAACGAGUUACGUUAAGUAGCAAGGUUAAGCACUUAAGGUGCGGAGCCGUAGCGAAAGCGAGUUUUAACUGAGCGUUCAGUUACUUGACGUAGACCCGAAACCGGGCGACCUACCCAUGAGCAGGAUGAAGCGAAAGUAAAAUUUCGUGGAGGUCCGAACCCACGAGCGUUGAAAAGCUCGGGGAUGACUUGUGGGUAGCGGUGAAAUUCCAAUCGAGCCCGGAGAUAGCUGGUUCUCCCCGAAAUAGCUUUAGGGCUAGCCUCAAGGUGAGAGAUACGGAGGUAGAGCACUGAAUGUCCUAGGGGGUAUUGCACCUACCGAAGACUAUCAAACUCCGAAUGCCGUCAUCUUAUACUUGGGAGUCAGACUGUGGGUGAUAAGAUUCAUAGUCGAAAGGGCAACAGCCCAGAUCGUCAGCUAAGGUCCCUAAAUGUAAGUUAAGUGGUAAAGGAUGUGGGAUUGCACAGACAACCAGGAUGUUGGCUUAGAAGCAGCCACUCAUUCAAAGAGUGCGUAAUAGCUCACUGGUCGAGUGAUCCUGCGCCGAAGAUUUCCGGGGCUAAAACUUACUACCGAAGCUACGGCAUCAGUAAUGAUGGGUAGGGGAGCUUCCCAUACGGGUUGAAGCAUGACCGUAAGGACAUGUGGACAGUAUGGGAGUGAGAAUGUUGGCAUGAGUAGCGAGAUGUGGGUGAGAAUCCCACAGGCCGUAAACCCAAGGUUUCCAGGGGAAGGUUCGUCCGCCCUGGGUUAGUCGGGACCUAAGCUGAGGCCGAAAGGCGUAGGUGAUGGACAACAGGUUGAUAUUCCUGUACUACCGAUAACCGUUUGAGAGAAGGGAUGACACAGUAGGAUAAGCUAAGCACACUGUUGGUUAUGUGUGCCCAAGCAUUGAGGCAGUCAAAGUAGGCAAAUCCGCUUUGAUAAUGCUGGGAUGUGAUGGGGAGCGAAAUUUAGUAGCGAAGUAGCUGAUUUCACACUGUCAAGAAAAGUCUCUAUCGAGGUUAAAGGUACCCGUACCGCAAACCGACACAGGUGGGUGAGGAGAGUAUCCUAAGGCCAGCGAGAGAACUGUUGUUAAGGAACUCGGCAAAAUGACCCCGUAACUUAGGGAUAAGGGGUGCCACCAUCAGGUGGCCGCAGAGAAUAGGCCCAAGCGACUGUUUACCAAAAACAUAGGUUUCUGCUAAGUCGCAAGACGAUGUAUAGGAGCUGACGCCUGCCCGGUGCUGGAAGGUUAAGGGGAUCUGUUAGAGCAAUCGAAGCAGUGAACUUAAGCCCCAGUAAACGGCGGCCGUAACUAUAACGGUCCUAAGGUAGCGAAAUUCCUUGUCGGGUAAGUUCCGACCCGCACGAAAGGCGUAACGAUUUGGGCACUGUCUCAACAACAGACUCGGUGAAAUUGUAAUUCCGGUGAAGAUGCCGGAUACCUGCGACAGGACGGAAAGACCCCAUGGAGCUUUACUGUAGCUUGACAUUGGGUCUUGGUACUACAUGUACAGGAUAGGUGGGAGGCUUUGAAACCAGGACGCCAGUUUUGGCGGAGCCAUCCUUGGGAUACCACCCUUGUAGUACUGGGACUCUAACCAUAGGCCAUGAAUCUGGUCUUGGGACACUGUCAGGUGGGCAGUUUGACUGGGGCGGUCGCCUCCCAAAAGGUAACGGAGGCGCUCAAAGGUUCUCUCAGUACGGUCGGAAAUCGUACGUAGAGUGUAAAGGCAAAAGAGAGCUUGAUUGCAAGACAUACAGGUCGAGCAAGGAUGAAAAUCGGACUUAGUGAUCCGGUGGUUCUGCGUGGAAGGGCCAUCGCUCAACGGAUAAAAGCUACCCUGGGGAUAACAGGCUUAUCUCCCCCAAGAGUCCACAUCGACGGGGAGGUUUGGCACCUCGAUGUCGGCUCAUCACAUCCUGGGGCUGUAGUAGGUCCCAAGGGUUGGGCUGUUCGCCCAUUAAAGUGGUACGCGAGCUGGGUUCAGAACGUCGUGAGACAGUUCGGUCCCUAUCCGUCGCAGGCGUAGGAAAUUUGAGAAGACCUGUCCUUAGUACGAGAGGACCGGGAUGGACGUACCUCUGGUGUACCAGUUGUCCUGCCAAGGGCAUGGCUGGGUAGCUAUGUACGGAAUGGAUAAGCGCUGAAAGCAUCUAAGCGCGAAGCCAACUUCAAGAUAAGAUUUCCCACCGCAAGGGUAAGACCCCAGAAAGACUAUCUGGUUGAUAGGUCGAAGGUGUAAGUGCAGCAAUGUAUUUAGCUUAUCGAUACUAAUAGGUCGAGGACUUGACCAA
rnacentral:rRNA from 1 species